UUUUAGUCAAUUUAUGAAGGCUUGAACCUUAUUUUAAAGCUACAUUGCGAGUGCAUCUCUAUCAGCUCAUUGAUUCAGGGUUGAAUGCUCAGGCUUUCGAACGCACCUAGACCUCUCAGCGUACCCACGGUAGAAGCAGUGAUUAUCUCAUAAUGUAGCUACAAGUUGUAGUGUGUGCAGUCAAAAUCAGACAGUUGCAGAUUCCAGCCAGCAAAUGAUGAGUCCUCCUAUUUCGGGGACUUCAAUUAGAUUUAUUAUUGUUCUUUACUUUCUUAUUCUUAUAGAUUGAUUAGUGAUAGUUGGGGCCGUGUCCUUGA